rnacentral:rRNA from 1 species
UACGAAGGGGGCUAGCGUUGUUCGGAAUUACUGGGCGUAAAGCGCGCGCAGGCGGUCCUUUAAGUCGGGGGUGAAAGCCCAGAGCUCAACUCUGGAACUGCCUUCGAAACUAGAGGACUUGGGUACGGGAGAGGUGAGUGGAAUUCCGAGUGUAGAGGUGAAAUUCGUAGAUAUUCGGAAGAACACCAGUGGCGAAGGCGGCUCACUGGCCCGAUACUGACGCUGAGGCACGAAAGCGUGGGGAGCAAACAGG